rnacentral:rRNA from 1 species
GACGAACGCUGGCGGCGUGCUUAAUACAUGCAAGUCGAACGGAAAGGCCCUGCUUUUGUGGGGUGCUCGAGUGGCGAACGGGUGAGUAACACGUGAGUAACCUGCCCUUGACUUUGGGAUAACUUCAGGAAACUGGGGCUAAUACCGGAUAGGAGCUCCUGCUGCAUGGUGGGGGUUGGAAAGUUUCGGCGGUUGUGGCUGGACUCGCGGCUUAUCAGCUUGUUGGUGUGGUAGUGGCUUACCAAGGGUUCGACGGGUAGCCGGCCUGGGAGGGUGACCGGCGUCAUGGGGACUAAGAUAGGCCGCAGUAUGCAACGGGAGGCAGCGGGCGGAAGUAUUACGGAGUGGGCGCGAGCCUGAUACGGCAGCGCCCGGUGCGGAAUGCUGUGCUACGGGUGGUGAACAACUGUGGACUGUGACGUGGCCUGCUUGACGGUAAUGAAUCAGAAAGCACCGGCUAACUACGUG